AAUGUGGUUAAUGAUGCUGAACUUUUUUCCCCAUCAUAUCGACCAUGGUGAAAACUAGCUGAUACUAAGCCAGUUUUGUCUGAAACCACAUU
ensembl:snoRNA small nucleolar SNORD12/SNORD106